rnacentral:rRNA from 1 species
GGGAAUUUUCCGCAAUGGGCGAAAGCCUGACGGAGCAACGCCGCGUGAGGGAUGAAGGCCUCUGGGCUGUAAACCUCUUUUAUCAAGGAAGGAGAUCUGACGGUACUUGAUGAAUAAGCCACGGCUAAUUCCGUGCCAGCAGCCGCGGUAAUACGGGAGUGGCAAGCGUUAUCCGGAAUUAUUGGGCGUAAAGCGUCCGCAGGCGGCCUCGUAAGUCUGUCGUUAAAGCGUGGAGCUUAACUCCAUUAAGGCGAUGGAAACUGUGAGGCUUGAGUGUGGUAGGGGCAGAGGGAAUUCCCGGUGUAGCGGUGAAAUGCGUAGAUAUCGGGAAGAACACCAGUGGCGAAGGCGCUCUGCUGGGCCAUAACUGACGCUCAUGGACGAAAGCCAGGGGAGCGAAAGGGAUUAGAUACCCCUGUAGUC